rnacentral:rRNA from 1 species
AUUGAACGCUGGCGGCAGGCUUAACACAUGCAAGUCGAGCGGAGUGAUGGUGCUUGCACUAUCACUUAGCGGCGGACGGGUGAGUAAUGCUUAGGAAUCUGCCUAUUAGUGGGGGACAACACCUCGAAAGGGAAGCUAAUACCGGAUACGUCCUACGGGAGGAAGAAGGGGAUCACUUGUUAACGUGCGCCAGUAGAUGAGCCUAAGUCGGGUUAGCUAGUUGGUGGGGUAAAGGCCUACCAAGGCGACGAUCUGGAUCGGGUGUGCGAGGAUGAUCCGCCACACUGGGACUGAGACACGGCCCAGACUCCUACGGGAGGCAGCAGUGGGGAAUAUUGGACAAGGGGGGGAACCCUGAUCCAGCCAUGCCGCGUGUGUGAAGAAGGCCUUAUGGUUGUAAGGCACUUUAAGCGAGGAGGAGGCUCUUUUGGUUAAUACCCAAGAUGAGUGGACGUUACUCGCAGAAUAAGCACCGGCUAACUCUGUGCCAGCCGCCGCAGUAA